UACGGGGGGGCAAGCGUUGUUCGGAAUUACUGGGCGUAAAGGGCUCGUAGGCGGCCAACUAAGUCAGACGUGAAAUCCCUCGGCUUAACCGGGGAACGGCGUCUGAUACUGGAUGGCUUGAAUCCGGGAGAGGGAUGCGGAAUUCCAGGUGUAGCGGUGAAAUGCGUAGAUAUCUGGAGGAACACCGGUGGCGAAGGCGGCAUCCUGGACCGGCAUUGACGCUGAGGAACGAAAGCCAGGGGAGCAAACGGG
rnacentral:rRNA from 1 species